UACAGAGGAUGCAAGCGUUAUCCGGAAUGAUUGGGCGUAAAGCGUCUGUAGGUGGCUUUUUAAGUCCGCCGUCAAAUCCCAGGGCUCAACUCUGGACAGGCGGUGGAAACUACCAAGCUGGAGUACGGUAGGGGCAGAGGGAAUUCCCGGUGUAGCGGUGAAAUGCGCAGAUAUCGGGAAGAACACCCGUGGCGAAGGCGGUUCUCUGGGACGGUACUGACGCUGAGACGCGAAAGCGUGGGGAGCGAACAGG
rnacentral:rRNA from 1 species